rnacentral:rRNA from 1 species
GACGAACGCUGGCGGCGUGCUUAACACAUGCAAGUCGAACGAUGACGACCGAGCUUGCUCGGUCUGAUUAGUGGCGAACGGGUGAGUAACACGUGAGCAACCUGCCCUUCACUCUGGGAUAACCUCGGGAAAUCGGGGCUAAUACCGGAUAUGAGCUCCUGUCGCAUGGCGGGUGUUGGAAAGUUUUUCGGUGAAGGAUGGGCUCGCGGCCUAUCAGUUUGUUGGUGUGGUAGUGGCUCACCAAGGCGAUGACGGGUAGCCGGCCUGAGAGGGCGACCGGCCACACUGGGACUGAGACACGGCCCAGACUCCUACGGGAGGCAGCAGUGGGGAAUAUUGCACAAUGGGCGAAAGCCUGAUGCAGCGACGCCGCGUGAGGGAUGACGGCCUUCGGGUUGUAAACCUCUUUCAGCAGGGAAGAAGCGAAAGUGACGGUACCUGCAGAAGAAGCGCCGGCUAACUACGUG